rnacentral:rRNA from 1 species
UACGGAGGGAGCUAGCGUUGUUCGGAAUUACUGGGCGUAAAGCGCGCGUAGGCGGCUUUGUAAGUUAGAGGUGAAAGCCCGGGGCUCAACCCCGGAAUUGCCUUUAAGACUGCAUCGCUUGAAUCCGGGAGAGGUGAGUGGAAUUCCGAGUGUAGAGGUGAAAUGCGUAGAUAUCGGGAGGAACACCUGUGGCGAAAGCGGCUCACUGGACCAUAACUGACGCUGAUGCGCGAAAGCUAGGGGAGCAAACAGG